rnacentral:rRNA from 1 species
AACGAGCGCUGGCGGCAUGCCUAACACAUGCAAGUCGAACGAACCCUUCGGGGUUAGUGGCGCACGGGUGCGUAACGCGUGGGAAUCUGCCCUUUGGUUCGGGAUAACAGUGAGAAAUUACUGCUAAUACCGGAUGAUGACUUCGGUCCAAAGAUUUAUCGCCCAGGGAUGAGCCCGCGUAGGAUUAGCUAGUUGGUGGGGUAAAGGCCUACCAAGGCGACGAUCCUUAGCUGGUCUGAGAGGAUGAUCAGCCACACUGGGACUGAGACACGGCCCAAACUCCUACGGGAGGCAGCAGUGGGGAAUAUUGGACAAUGGGCGCAAGCCUGAUCCAGCCAUGCCGCGUGAGUGAUGAAGGCCUUAGGGUUGUAAAGCUCUUUCGUCCGGGACGAUAAUGACGGUACCGGAAGAAGAAGCCCCGGCUAACUUCGUGCCAGCCGCCGCCGUAACAC